rnacentral:rRNA from 1 species
UACAUGGGGUGCAAACGUUGCUCGGAAUCAUUGGGCGUAAAGCGCGCGUAGGCGGUUACUUAAGUUGGAUGUGAAAGCCCUCGGCUUAACCGAGGAAGUGCAUCCAAAACUGAGUAGCUAGAGUACGAAAGAGGGUCGCGGAAUUCCCGGUGUAGAGGUGAAAUUCGUAGAUAUCGGGAGGAACACCGGGUGGCGAAGGCGGCGACCUGGGUCGAGACUGACGCUGAGGCGCGAAAGCGUGGGGAGCAAACAGG